AACUCAUAAGCAAAAGAUCCUUUUCUAUUAAGUUCACCGGAUCUUUCUUUUUAUUUAUUUAAAUUUGGUUGGAUCGCACAUAGCUGCAGAACUUGUCACGGGAGAAUCAAGGACACUUGGGAGUCUUUUUGCUGCUGAGCUUGUCACGGUAGCAAGGACACUCAUGCUUGUUCCCAUAAGUUCCUGAAGGAACACACUUGCACUCUUUGCAACAUAUUCCACAAUACUUCAAACAUCUAUCAUUCAUCCCUGCAUCUUUGCAUCUCACUUCACACUUCCCUCCACACCACUUAUCUAAUUCUGGUCCCACUUUGAUUUCAGGCGCAGGAGCCGCGGCGCCACCACCACCUUCAUCACCAUAAUUUAUUCAUUCCGAUUUUUUUCUUACAUGUAUAAAUAUACCUUUAGUGGUUUUGCAUCUUAUAGUUUUAACCAAUAAGAAAUA
rnacentral:lncRNA from 1 species